CCUACGGGAGGCAGCAGUGGGGAAUAUUGCGCAAUGGGCGAAAGCCUGACGCAGCGACGCCGCGUGAGGGAUGAAGGUCUUCGGAUCGUAAACCUCUGUCAGCAGGGAAGAACGGUCACUGUGCUAAUCAGCAGUGAAUUGACGGUACCUGCAAAGGAAGCACCGGCUAACUCCGUUCCAACAGCCGCGGUAAUACGGAGGGUGCGAGCGUUAAUCGGAAUUACUGGGCGUAAAGCGCUCGUAGGCGGUAUGUCAAGUCAAGGGGGAAAUCCCCGCGCUCAACGUGGGAACUGCCUUUGAAACUAGCAAACUGGAGUGUGUGAGAGGAUAGUGGAAUUCCAGGUGUAGGAGUGAAAUCCGUAGAUAUCGGGAGGAACAUCAGUGGCGAAGGCGACUAUCUGGCACAUAACUGACGCUGAGGAGCGAAAGCGUGGGUAGCAAACAGGAUUAGAUACCCGGGUAGUC
rnacentral:rRNA from 1 species